GACGAACGCUGGCGGCGUGCUUAACACAUGCAAGUCGAACGGAAAGGCCCUGCUUUUGUGGGGUGCUCGAGUGGCGAACGGGUGAGUAACACGUGAGUAACCUGCCCUUGACUUUGGGAUAACUUCAGGAAACUGGGGCUAAUACCAGAUAGGAGCUCCUGCUGCAUGGUGGGGGUUGGAAAGUUUCGGCGGUUGGGGAUGGACUCGCGGCUUAUCAGCUUGUUGGUGGGGUAGUGGCUUACCAAGGCUUUGACGGGUAGCCGGCCUGAGAGGGUGACCGGCCACAUUGGGACUGAGAUACGGCCCAGACUCCUACGGGAGGCAGCAGUGGGGAAUAUUGCACAAUGGGCGGAAGCCUGAUGCAGCAACGCCGCGUGCGGGAUGACGGCCUUCGGGUUGUAAACCGCUUUCGCCUGUGACGAAGCGUGAGUGACGGUAAUGGGUCAAGAAGCACCGGCUAACUACGUG
rnacentral:rRNA from 1 species